GACAGAGGGUGCAAACGUUGUUCGGAAUUACUGGGUGUAAAGCGUGUGUAGGCGGCCAUGUAAGUCGGAUGUGAAAGCCCCGGGCUUAACCCGGGAAGUGCAUUCGAUACUGCGUGGCUUGAGUAUCGGAGAGGUUGGUGGAAUUCUCGGUGUAGCGGUGAAAUGCGUAGAUAUCUGGAGGAACACCGGUGGCGAAGGCGGCAUCCUGGACCAAUAUUGACGCUGAGGAGCGAAAGCCAGGGGAGCAAACGGG
rnacentral:rRNA from 1 species